GCGGGAAUAGCUCAGUGGUAGAGCACAACCUUGCCAAGGUUGUGGGCGCGAGUUCAAAUCUCGUUUCCCGCUCCA
rnacentral:tRNA from 3 species